rnacentral:lncRNA from 1 species
GAAUCUCUUCCUUCCAGUGGAACACCGCUAUGGCUUCCUCGAUCGCCUCCGUCGGCUGCAAGGUGUCGGCAUCCUCGGCUCCCCCGUCCAAGCUUGACAAGGUGCAGGUCUUGAAGCAUGCCCCAGUUAACAGCGCCUUCGGUCUGAAGCCCGCCGCCUCCCGCGUCUCCUGCAGCGUGGAGGAGACCGUGAGGAGGGUUGUCGAUGGUGCCAAGGCCGCCGCUCUCGUCUUGGCUUCGUCGGCUCUCGUCGCUGGGGUAAGAUGCAUCUGCAAUGCCUGCUAGUUUCGUUUGUUGUAUGUUCUCUUGGCGAAUUUUGCGAAGAUCGGACCGGCUUGAGGGUCGGAGCGUUCCCGGGACAUGGUCGGAUGGUCGGUACGGGGUGGUGGGGUGGCGCGUAGUCGCUGCCGCGCAACGCUGAAAGGGUCAUGCAGGACGGCACAUUAGUAGUGGUGAAUGUGUUCUCAGAAGUAAUUACAACGUCCAAAGCCUCGAGUGUGGUAGGAUUGCGGACGGACGCCAGGGGAUGGUCAUGGCGCAUGCCUCGAGCGUGCACUACCCAGGUGGACUGAGUGAUGGGAGCAAUUUUGUGGCGUGCAGGCCGCUCUCGCCGAGGGAACGCCCCAGAGGCUGACGUUCGACGAGAUCAACGCCCAGACGUACAUGGACGUGAAGGGGUCAGGAACCGCGAACCAGUGCCCGAUCGUGCCGGAGGGAUCCGACAAGUUCUCGUUCAAGGACGGGAAGUACACGAUGAAGAAGCUGUGCAUGGAGCCGACGUCGUUCACGGUGAAGGCGGAGUCGCCGUUCAAGGGCGGUAGCGAGGGAUUUCAAAAUACGAAGCUGAUGACCCGGCUCACGUACACGCUGGAUGAGAUCGAGGGACCGCUGACGGUGAGCAACGGGAACCUGAGGUUCGAGGAGAAGGACGGGAUCGACUACGCGGCGGUGACGGUGCAGCUGCCGGGAGGCGAGAGGGUGCCGUUCCUGUUCACGGUGAAGGAGCUUGUGGCGGAGGGCAAGCCGGAGAAGUUCGGGGGGUCGUUCCUGGUGCCGUCGUACAGAGGGUCGUCAUUCUUGGACCCCAAGGGACGGGGUGGAUCCACUGGGUACGACAAUGCCGUGGCUCUGCCUGCGGGCGGUGCCGGAGACGAGGAGGAGCUGGCGAAGGAGAACGAGAAGAACACGGCUGCGCUGAACGGCAACAUCACGUUCAGCAUCGCCAAGAGCAACACGGAGACCGGCGAGAUCGCGGGGACGUUCGAGAGCAUCCAGCCAUCAGACACCGACUUGGGAUCCAAGACGCCGAAGGAGGUGAAGAUCGAGGGCAUCUUCUACGCCCAGCUGGAGCAGUAGACACAGACGCAUAGACAUAGAGUAGAU